AGAAAAGGGAAUUAUAUCCUCACAUAACCAUCACUACUACCAGACAGACAAGUGGAAAUGAAGACAUGCAAAUGCUCCUGUGAAGGUGAUGGGACUGAGAGCUGGGCCUCCCCUAAUGAUCCUAAUCUCCUAGGUAGUUCAUAGGAGGAGAUACAUUCAGACAGGUAAGCUGGACUGGGACUGUUUUGGCUAAAGCCAGCACUUUGAAUUGUGUUCGGUAGCAAACUGGCAGACAGUGGAGCUGGCGCAACAGGGGGUUGUAUGCUCUCUGUACACUACUUCAGUGAGCAACCUAGCUGCUGCCAAACCCUCUCUGGUUUCCUUUAUCAGCCCAGAUGGGCAGGGGUCUAGAAUGCAUGUGGCUGCCCUCACCUCUCCAAGCAACUUUUCCACAUCCUCAAGCUGCACCAAUUGAAAUGAACUCAUCAAAACUGGACAAGCAGGUGCUCAUGUUACAUCCCCAGAGACUGCUGUUAACAUGGUGUCCAAGCCGGAGCAGAUCAGAGCGACUUUGUCCACAAAGAACUGAACAAAUGCUUCACAGCAAACUGCCAAGUUGUCAGUCAGCCAAGUUGGAAGAUGCGAUUUAACAACUCUCUGACUACUCAAAACAGCUCCGCUGGACUGUUUGUUGCAGACUCAAUAUUGACCACAAAGAAAAAAUUAUUUGCAGCGUCUAUUCCCAUGGCAUAUGCCCUUAGGUAGGCACACAGAUGUGUUCAGUCUGACUUGCUAUGCUUUAAAUGCCACAUGCACUCUAGCUCCCUGAUCUUUCGCUUCGCUGCCAGUUCCUCGUUGAACUAAGGAGUCGGUUUAGCUCGGCUAUUCGAGGGGAUAUAAGAAUAAAGUUAUUGUUGUUAUUGUUGAUGUUGUUGUUGAGACGAGGGAGAGAAUGCAGAACCAUAUGAAAGAAAAAUAUAAAGUUCACAAUUAGUGCAUCUGAUAUAAUAACAGUUUCUUAUAGCUUACAGUUGGACACUUAUAUAAUUAUUAUUUUGUUAUUCAGCUAGUGUACUGUUUAUGCCAAGAACAGGAUCUUAUGUUUUUGGGUUAUUAACAAACAAUGAUAAGGCUAGCCCCGUACAAAUUGUGCAUGCCAGCAGCCAAAAAGCAGCAGUGGUGCAUUGUGAAUCAAUAUUGCAUUAAUGAAUCAACGAGUUGGUUGAUCUUCCAAUUUCCCAACCCUUCACAAUUCUUCUGGCAGAAGUCUAGAAUAGAAAUGUAAAUCCUAGCUCACCUCAUUCUCCAAUACAAUAACAAACAUUUUCAAAAUAUGAAAUUAUGUUUUUUAUUUCUUCUCUGUAUUUAAUAAAGAGUAGGAAAUA